rnacentral:rRNA from 1 species
AAGGUUAUAUGAUCAAGUAAAGGAAGAGCACAAGGCGGAUGCCUUGGCAGCAUAAGGCGAUGAAGGACGUAGUAACCUGCGAUAAGCCUCGG